rnacentral:rRNA from 1 species
UGAACGACUCUCGGCAACGGAUAUCUCGGCUCUCGCAUCGAUGAAGAACGUAGCGAAAUGCGAUACUUGGUGUGAAUUGCAGAAUCCCGUGAACCAUCGAGUCUUUGAACGCAAGUUGCGCCCGAAGCCUCCGGCUGAGGGCACGUCUGCCUGGGCGUCACGC